rnacentral:rRNA from 1 species
AUUGAACGCUAGCGGGAUGCUUUACACAUGCAAGUCGAACGGAGUGGCGGACGGGUGAGUAAUAUAUCGGAACGUGCCCAGUAGCGGGGGAUAACUACUCGAAAGAGGGGCUAAUACCGCAUACUAUUGGAUCGGCCGAGUUCGGAUUAGCUUGUGGGUGGGGAAAAGGCUCACCAAGGCCACGAUCCGUAGCUGGUUUGAGAGGAGGACCAGCCACACUGGGACUGAGACAGGGCCCAGACUCCUACGGGAGGCAGCAGUGGGGAAUAUUGCACAAGGGGCGCAAGCCUGAUGCAGCCAUGCCGCGUGUAUGAAGAAGGCCUUCGGGUUGUAAAGUACUUUCAGUCGGGAGGCGUUACCGACAGAAGAAGCACCGGCUAACUCCGUGCCAGCAGCCGCGGUAAUAC